UACGUAGGCAGCGAGCGUUGUUCGGAGUUACUGGGCGUAAAGGGUGUGUAGGCGGUUUUCUAAGUUUGGUGUGAAAUCUCCCGGCUCAACCGGGAGGGUGCGCCGAAAACUGGGAGACUAGAGGUGCGGGAUGGGAGAGUAGAAUUCCUGGUGUAGCGGUGAAAUGCGUAGAUAUCAGGAGGAAUACCGGUGGUGUAGACGGCUCUCUGGACCGCCACUGACGCUGAGACACGAAAGCGUGGGUAGCAAACAGG
rnacentral:rRNA from 1 species